UGGAAGUAAAAGUCGUAACAAGGUCUCCGUUGGUGAACCAGCGGAGGGAUCAUUAAAGAGUUAUACAACUCCUAAACCCAUGUGAACCUACCUUUGUUGCCUCGGCAGGUCUGCAGCCUACCCUGUGAGGACCUACCCUGUAGGGACCUUACCCGGUAGUUGCAGGUUUUAACCUGCCGGUGGUCUACCAAACUCUGUUUACUAUGUUAUUCUGAAUAAUAUAACUAAAUAAGUUAAAACUUUCAACAACGGAUCUCUUGGUUCUGGCAUCGAUGAAGAACGCAGCGAAAUGCGAUAAGUAAUGUGAAUUGCAGAAUUCAGUGAAUCAUCGAAUCUUUGAACGCACAUUGCGCCCAUUAGUAUUCUAGUGGGCAUGCCUGUUCGAGCGUCAUUUCAACCCUUAAGCCCCUGUUGCUUAGCGUUGGGAGCCUACAGAUACCCCCUGUAGCUCCCCAAAGUUAGUGGCGGAGUCGGUUUCACACUCUAGACGUAGUAAUUUUUAUCUCGCCUAUAGAUGAGCCGGUCCCCUGCCGUAAAACCCCCCUAUUUCUAAAGGUG
rnacentral:rRNA from 1 species